CAGAUUGGGAGAUACUGGGUGAGGGGGAGUAGAAACCAAACAAGAGAGAGAAAGGUCACGAAUUUUUUUUUAACUACGUGGGUUUUUUUUAUUAUUGUUAUUUUAGAAGUGUGUUUAGCACUGAGACAAAUUGUACAUUUACCGCAAGUCACCAGGACCUAACGAGCUCCUAAUGUGCCCCAUACUUCAAGGUUUUUCAGAACAGGCCAGUAACUUAGCAACGGCAGCUAAACCUUGACGGGAAUAAUCAGUAUUUGUGUUGCAGCUUCAGGCUUUCCCACUGUAGAGGUUUCUGUGUUUUUUUUUCUUUUAUUUCUUUCUUUCUUUCCUCCCUUUCUCUUUUUAAAGGAUCCCACAACAAGGAAGAACAGUCAUGGCUGGGAAAGGACCAUUGCAGCUUCUGGAUCACAUAAGGCAUGGAGAGAGGCCAAUCCUGAAUGAAGGGUGCUUUCAAUGAACACCAAGGGAGGGAAGAGAGGAAAGAAAAGGAAGGAAGCUUCUUUGGGCAGAGGAAGUUUAUUAUUCUGCGAGAGGAAAUCGACAAAGAAAACUGAAGAAACCACAGAUAAUAGACUAAAGCAACAGAACAGUGCUGAUUUACAGAGGAAGACUUGCCAGGCAACUACAGGGGAAAACACAUGGCCUCCAGCUGAGCAGAAAGGGAGCUUUGCAGCUGCAGAGAUCAAGGAAGAUUACAAGGAGGAGGGGGCAAUGGAGCUGACUUCUGAAGCAUGACAAGAAUCUAAAACAUAGAAAAGAGGAAGGAAUGCUCUCCAUGCAUGGAGACAGCCUGUGUACUGACAUAGAAGGUAUGUAUUGAGUUCACGAAAUAGUUAGCGGUCCAACUUGCCUGAAAUAUCAUGUGUAUCAAGUAGUUUAAUGUGAAAUAAAACUGGGAGGAGGUUGGAGCUAGAUUCUAAA
rnacentral:lncRNA from 1 species